UCGCAUCCCCGCCUGGUACUGUAGGUAUAGGGUCCGGAAUCUCUCUGUCGGUCGUCUGCCGCGAUAAUAAAUCCUCUAACCUCUUUAUCCUGUCUUCCUGUCUUCGAGCGGCAUCCAUCUGCUGUCGCACUGCUGCUGCCUGCUGUGUCACUAGCUCAGUCAACACUGCGAUCUGAUCCUGUAUCUCCCGGACCUCACUGGACCCGAGGUGACGGAAGUCUCCACUUCUUCGGCAGCGGCCGCCUCAGCCGCCCCGGCGGUCUCAGAACGAGUCGUAGGCAUUUUAAGCUGCUACAAACAAAAAA
rnacentral:lncRNA from 1 species